AGUAAUUGAACUUUGUGUUUUGUUGGAGAAGUUACGGUUUUGAAAGACUGUGUUUAAGAGAAAGAUUGAUAUAAUUGUAAUUGUUGAUCAUUUUUAUGUGACUGGAGUUAAUGAUAAAAGUCAACUAUUGGACGGAAGUGCUGAUAAUUACAAAGAAAACUAUUAGUGAAAAUACUGUCGCGGUCGCCGGAUUGUCGAAUUCGGACGCUGAUUGACAAUUCAGAUGGAAAUAAAAAAGGCAAGGCGAGGAUUGAAUUAUCGGGGGCAGUAACUGUGUAAAACCGUCGUAAAGGCAUGUCAGUAGCUCAGGAUACUUCAUGGCAUAAACUGGGUUUAGGCAGUCUAAAAUCACACACAUUCUUGAUGUCCAAGCAAAAGUAUGGAGGGCAGAUAGUGAAGUAGGUCAUGUCUCAUCGUAUCUGUGAAACAUAUCUGUGAAACGUGGCAGUGGCGGCAAAGAAACCAGACCGGCCAGGUUGCACGUGCACAUGACUGUGUCCACAAGUUUACUGGAGUGUCAGUGGUGAGAAGGGACUCAAGGAGCUUUAAUUGAAGAGGGCAAGCCUGUUGAGAUUUUAGAGGGUGAUGGAUAUAAUAAUAUAGAAAUUCGCGUGAAAAGGAACAUAAACCUUACUCUACAGAAACGUUUUGAUAAAAAUCAUGUCAAGAACAUUUUGAUAAUGAAGAAUUCAGACUGUCAGCCCAGGCGGAGUUCUGCAAAAAUCGACCAUGAAAAUCAUGUUUAUAUUGUGUAUAUAAUAAUAAGUUUAAUGUUAUUAAUCACUAUUCAUUAAUGAAGCUAUUUUCCUUUUAACUGGUAUGAUUGAAUGAUUAAAUAUGCCAUAUGUCUUAA